rnacentral:rRNA from 1 species
UACGUAGGGGGCUAGCGUUGUCCGGAAUCAUUGGGCGUAAAGAGCGCGCAGGCGGUCGUAUAAGUCGAAUGUGAAAGCCCCCGGCUCAACUGGGGAGGGUCAUUCGAUACUGUUCGACUCGAAGGCAGGAGAGGGAAGUGGAAUUCCGGGUGUAGUGGUGAAAUGCGUAGAUAUCCGGAGGAACACCAGUGGCGAAGGCGACUUUCUGGCCUGUUCUUGACGCUGAGGCGCGAAAGCUAGGGGAGCAAACGGG